rnacentral:rRNA from 1 species
GAUGAACGCUGGCGGCGUGCCUAAUACAUGCAAGUCGAGCGAACGGACGAGGAGCUUGCUUCUCUGACGUUAGCGGCGGACGGGUGAGUAACACGUGGAUAACCUACCUAUAAGACUGGGAUAACUUCGGGAAACCGUAGCUAAUACCGGAUAAUAUUUUGAACCGCAUGGUUCAAUAGUGAAAGACGGUCUUGCUGUCACUUAUAGAUGGAUCCGCGCUGCAUUAGCUAGUUGGUAAGGUAACGGCUUACCAAGGCAACGAUGCAUAGCCGACCUGAGAGGGUGAUAGGCCACACUGGAACUGAGCCACGGUCCAGACUCCUACGGGAGGCAGCAGUAGGGAAUCUUCCGCAAUGGGCGAAAGCCUGACGGAGCAACGCCGCGUGAGUGAUGAAGGUCUUCGGAUCGUAAAACUCUGUUAUUAGGGAAGAACAUAUGUGUAAGUAACUGUGCACAUCUUGACGGUACCUAAUCAGAAAGCCACGGCUAACUACGUG